CCUACGGGCGGCAGCAGUGGGGGAUAUUGCACAAUGGGGGAAACCCUGAUGCAGCGACGCCGCGUGGGUGAAGAAGCGCCUCGGCGCGUAAAGCCCUGUCAGCAGGGAAGAAAAUGACGGUACCUGAAGAAGAACCCCCGGCUAACUACGUGCCAGCAGCCGCGGUAAUACGGAGGGGGCAAGCGUUAUCCGGAUUUACUGGGGGUAAAGGGGGCGCAGACGGCGAUGCAGGCCAGGAGUGAAAGCCGGGGGCCCAACCCCGGGACUGCUCUUGAAACUGCGUGGCUGGAGUGGAGGAGGGGUAGGCGGAAUUCCUGGUGUAGCGGUGAAAUGCGUAGAUAUCAGGAAGAACACCGAUGGCGAAGGCGGCCUGCUGGACUGCAACUGACGUUGAGGCCCGAAAGCGUGGGGAGCAAACAGGAUUAGAUACCCUAGUAGUC
rnacentral:rRNA from 1 species